rnacentral:rRNA from 1 species
AUACGGAGGGUGCAAGCGUUACUCGGAAUCACUGGGCGUAAAGCGCGCGCAGGCGGCUAUUUAAGUUGGAUGGGAAAGCCUACGGCUCAACCGUAGAACUGCAUCCAAAACUAUUUAGCUAGAGUCUGGGAGGGGAAGAUGGAAUUAGUUGUGUAGGGGUAAAAUCCGUAGAGAUAACUAGGAAUACCAAAAGCGAAGGCGAUCUUCUGGAACAGUACUGACGCUGAGGCGCGAAAGCGUGGGGAGCAAACAGGAUUAGAUACCCUAGUAGUCC